GACGAACGCUGGCGGCGUGCUUAACACAUGCAAGUCGAACGAAGAGCGAUGGAAGCUUGCUUCUAUCAAUCUUAGUGGCGAACGGGUGAGUAACGCGUAAUCAACCUGCCCUUCAGAGGGGGACAACAGUUGGAAACGACUGCUAAUACCGCAUACGAUCUAAUCUCGGCAUCGAGGAUAGAUGAAAGGUGGCCUCUACAUGUAAGCUAUCACUGAAGGAGGGGAUUGCGUCUGAUUAGCUAGUUGGAGGGGUAACGGCCCACCAAGGCGAUGAUCAGUAGCCGGUCUGAGAGGAUGAACGGCCGCAUUGGGACUGAGACACGGCCCAGACGCCUACGGGAGGCAGCAGGGGGGAAUCUUCCGCAAUGGACGAAAGUCUGACGGAGCAACGCCGCGGGAGUGAUGACGGCCGUCGGGUUGUAAAGCUCGGUUAAUCGGGACGAAAGGCCUUCUUGCGAAUAGUGAGAAGGAUUGACGGUACCGGAAUAGAAAGCCACGGCUAACUACGUG
rnacentral:rRNA from 1 species